UACGUAGGGGGCUAGCGUUGUCCGGAAUCAUUGGGCGUAAAGAGCGCGUAGGCGGCCAGAUAAGUCCGGUGUGAAAGUCAAAGGCUCAACCUUUGAAUGCCGCUGGAAACUGUCUGGCUAGAGUCCGGGAGGGGCGAGUGGAAUUCCUGGUGUAGCGGUGAAAAUGCGUAGAGAUGUGGAGGAACACCAAUGGCGAAGGCAGCCUUCUGGGCCAACACUGACGCUCAUGCACGAAAGCGUGGGGAGCAAACAGG
rnacentral:rRNA from 1 species